CCCAAUAAAUAUCGCCCUCCUCCCCCUCGAACGCAACGGCUCGCAAAAGCAAAAACCGAAAGUCCGAAACACCUCCUUCUUUUUCUCCGCGCCCGCAUUUCCACCAACCGCCACCGCCUCUCCACCACCUUCCUCCCCAUCGCCGCCUCCUCUCCACCUCCACCUCCUCCCCGUCGCCGACUCGCCGCUGCGGCGAUUUCGACGAACACCUCGCACUCGCCUCCGCCUCCGCCUCCUCCUCCAAGGGCUCCGACUCGAUCGCGUCGGGCGAGGCAUUUCCACGAACACCUCGCCUGCGGCUGCGUGCUGUCUCCCACGGCGCAAUGCGCAGAGGAGCAUCCCAAGCGCAGCAGCGCAAGGACGCCGAGGCUGCGGAGCAGCUGGAUCGCCUUAUGCGGGAGGCGAGCAGCCCGCGCAAGGAGGCCAGGGAGGCGUUGCUGCUGGAUCGCUCGCGCCGCCACGACGAGGCGAUCGCCCGCGUCGACGAGCUCGCGGCCAAGCACCCGGAGUCCGCGGCCGUGGCACACCUCGCCGGGCUCCUCCACUACCACGCCACCUCCCGCGCCAUGGCCGCCAAGGACAGGCAGGGUGUCGAGGCGCACUGCAACACCGCGCGCGACUUCUACAUCAAGGCCAAGCGGCUCGCCCCCAACUGCGUCGAGAUCGCCGUCCGCCUGGCGCUAGCGCGGCUCCGAUGCUUCAAUGACGGCGAGGCGGAGCCCGAGAUCGAACGCGCCUUGGCCAUCCCCUUCCCCACCGACCCCGCGGAGAACAACGUCGCGUACGACAACGCCCUGGGCACCACCAGCUCCAGGGACAGGGUGGAGAAGGCGAGGAGGGUGGCCCUCGCUCGCCGCCCCGAGAUUCUGUCCUACGUGCGCAACAGGUCCAUUCCCGGCGAUGUCCGCACCGUGCUCGACUACGCCGACAGCGAUGGCGUGGCCAAGGCGGUGAAGCCAGCGAAGGAGGUCGCCCUGCGCUACCCCUACUCGGCGCGCGCGCACCUCAUCUACGCAUACAUCCGCCUCAAGUUCGCUCAAGGCAUGGCCCCGGGCAUCGACAACCGGACGUUUCUGAGUCGCAUCCUCGCCGAUUUGGACAAGGUGGCAAGUCAGUUCAAGACCUCGCUUGUGCUCGCCAUGUUCCGCGCCAAGCUCUCGUUUCUCCUGGGCAUGUAUAUUCCUAUGACAGUUGAGUGCAUCCGGGCGAGCACCAUGGAGUGGCCUGCUGAUCCGUGGGAUGAUGACGUACCUGUUAAAUCUGUGCUCGGAGAGAAACCUGAAGAUAGGGUGGCUUCUAUCCGCAAAGAGUUUGGACGUUUACAAAAGAAGCUUGACGUGGUGGCCAUAGAUCACAUGCAAUCCUUAACAAUCGAAGAGCGGGACAGUGUUCUAUCAGUGGGACUCAAUUCGAUGCUUCAACACUACACUAAUGAAAAAAUUGACGAGGCUACAAAGAUCGUGUCUGAGGCACUCAGCUUUGUCCAGAAAAGCGGGUCAUGGAGGUAUUGGAUUUGCCCCUAUUGUGUUGGCAAGAAGAUCCCGAACACUGAUGCGCUCUUGCAACACAUGCGCAACAAGCACCCGGAAGGGAGUGUCUGGCCGAAGCUGCUGUCUGUUUUAGAUCCAAACUUGAUUUCCGAUACAUCUCGGGGUGAUCAUUUCUCGGAUGACAUGACUGUCUAUAAAGAUUCAGAGGAGCAAUAUGUCUUCCAUUUCAAAAGGAUUCUGCCACCUGCCGUAACUGAUCAAAGGCCAUUUUCUGAAAUACGAGAGAACAAAUGCACAGAAGGAAUUAAAAUCCUUGAGAAGAUCAAGCUAAAGCUGAAGAAUGCCCCCGCAGACAUUUUAAGCACCAAGUUUAAUGAGGCUUGUGCUGAAAUCCGGGACUUGUGGCAUGAUUUCCUUGAAAUCUCUGUUCUGGAUUUUCGUGUAGUUAUCUUACCCCAUGUGAUGGUUUUCAUAUGGGAACGGUUUCUGCAACGCAUGAGUGAAAAGGCUGCCAGUGAGAGUGUUAAUGCUGCUGAUAUUGGUGUUGUAUUUCCUUAUGUUGAUACUCCUGAUAUUGAUGAAAUACUUCCUAAUGUCGAUGAUGCCCUUGACAACAGUGCUGCUGACAAUGAUGCAAUAUGUCCCAAUGUUCCUGAUGCAUCUGACAGCGAUGCUGCUAAUAUUGAUGAAAUACUUCCUAAUGUCAAUGAUGCCCUUGACAACAAUUCUGCUGACAAUGAUGCAAUAUGUCCCAAUGUUCCUGAUGCACCUGACAGCGAUGCUGCUAAUAUUGAUGAAAUACUUCCUAAUGUCGAUGAUGCCCUUGACGACAAUUCUGCCGACAAUGAUGCAAUAUGUCCCAAUGUUCCUGAUGCAUCUGACAGCAAUGCUGCUAAUAUUGAUGCAAUACAUCCUAAUGUUGUUGAUGCCUCCAGUAGCAAUGCUUCUAAUACUGAUGCAGUAUGUCAUGGCAUUGAUGAUGCCCAGGGCAGAGAUGCUGCAGUAUGUCCUAAUGUUGACGAUGCCCCUGAAAACAAUGCUGAUGAUAUGGAUGCAGUAAUUCCUGACACUGCCGAUGCCCCUGAAAACAACGCUGAUGAUAUAGAUGCAGUAAUUCCUAACACUGCCGAUGCCCCUGAAAACAAUACCGAUGAUAUGGAUGCAGUAAUUCCUAACAUUGCCGAUGCCCCUGAAAACAAUGCUGAUGAUAUGGAUGCAGUAAUUCCUAACACUGCCGAUGCCCCUGACAGAAAUUCUGAUAUCAAAGAUGGCUCCAAUCUCUCCCACGCAAACAAGGUCCAGGAAGAUGAAGCCAACCAAAAACCAGAGAACACUACGCUGUCAUGCUCAGACGGCACAUCAACAGAUGUAAUUGAUAAACAAAGUGACGCACAUGUUAAAGAUGAGGACUAUGGUGCCACAGUAAAUGAAAAUGAGUCAAAUUCACCAACUGAAAUGGUGGAAUAUGGAAACGAGCUGGAUGCAACACCAGGUAAUAUGGAGGCAGAUCUAAAAUGUGACAGCCUGAAAAGAACUUCUCUACCCAGUUUAAGUGACCAAAUUUACAGUGCAGCAAACACUGCUUCACACUUGUUAGGAAAAUUUGACCACUCUACUGAGGAAAUUGCAAGCAUUUCCUGCUACCAAAAAAGCAUUGAUGAUCUCAAAAAGAACAAUGCUGAUGAAGAUCUGUAUUUCUUGAAUGUGAUAAUACAGUUACUGUGGAAUUUGAGGCACUUCCGGAAUGAAUUUCUAAGGGGGCGAUCUACCUUUGACAUAGUGCAUGAGGACCUCUGCAUUGCUGAAAAAUUAUAUAGGAUCUUCUCUGCAUGGGAGAAAAAUGAACAUUCUAAGACGGUUCUUUUGCUAACUGAUGUGAAGACCACUUUGUGUGGAAUCGUAAAUGAUAGCAAUAUGUUUCAAACGUUGCAGGCUGGAAGAAAUUUUGCAUCUGAAAUAAUGGCUAUUAUUCUUCGGAGUCUGGAUAAGUUUGAGAAUUCUGUGUGCGUUGGUUCAAUGAGAAUUGUAUUAGAUGCACCCUGCAGACAUUGUGUAUGGUACACACUUGGUCUUUUUGGGACAAGAUUGAAGCAACUUAUGAGCUGCAGAUGUGGAGAGUGGUUUGGGGAAGAAUAUAUUUUGCUUUUCCAUAAACUUGACGCAAGUUCACCUCAUAGCACAAAGAUCAAUUGCUUUGAUGAGCUUCCAAUGUUAAUGGAUUAUCAGUCCGAUUGGGAGAGAAGAUGCAAUAACUGUUCUGGGAGUGUCAAGCAAAUUGGUUGUUUUCUUUCAAAGGGACCACACUUCUUCACAAUAGUUAUGAAGGAUUGGCUGGGUAGCGAUGGAAGCCAGGCUAUCUUGUCUGAAGCAUUGUUUGGCAUUGGGUCUCCCCUUGACAUUACACUUCUCUACAAAGGUGUUACACUUCCUCACAUAGGUGGUCACUCUGCAACGAAGUACCGUCUUGCCUCAGUGAAUUUGAGCAGGAAUAUAUAGUCCAUAUAGCGAAUACUAGGGAGCGGAAGCAACACAGUGGAUUAUUACUUCUAUGGACUGUCAUCUCGAUAUAUUGCUGAACUUUAAAUUGGAACAUAUCAUUGAUUAAGCAUUGGAGAAGUACCAUGGCUAGGUAAUCUUGUGGGACCAACUAAAUGCCUGAUGUUCUUCUCAUUUCUAUAUUUGGAGUACUCUUAUUUCCAUCCAUAUCUUAUAACGAUUUGUCUCAUCAAUUUGAAUGCAUCGAUUGCAGAGAUAACGGCUACAUCGGCAUACCAUUCCUCAACCAUGUUUUGUAAUCUCUACACAUUAUGUUGCUACUUUGUUUCAACACAUCCUGUCAUUAGACUGGUUGUGGGAUUAUCUGCUUAUAGAAGCCUAAUCAUGUAUUGAAAAUCUACUUCAUGUGCAUACAGUUAGCUUAACAUUGCUAUCUGUCCAACCACGCAGAUUUGCUACGUUGAGCAUGGUUAUGUCUGCUUUGCUCGUGACCAGGACGACAAGUGGCUCAAGUAUGACACUACGACGGUCAAGACAGUAGAUACCUGGGGAGAGCUACUAGAACUUUACAGGGAGAUCAACAUCCAACCUGAAGUCCUUGUCUAUGAGGUCAUCAAGUAGCUAUGACACCCUUGCACCGAUCUGGCAAUUCCUCUGCCUUUGCACAUACAGAGAACUUGUAUACAGUAUAUACUAGUACAUAUACACCGUCGUCAAGUUUCGUUACUGCUGCCAAUCACACACCGCUUUCUUCAUCGAUCUUUUCCCUGACACAAGAUUGGCAAAUAUGUUGAAAGAAAAUAUUGAAUUUUUCCCUUGCUCCUUGGGAAAUUCUAUGAAAUGUUGAAAUUGUACUUACGUUACUGCAAGCUUUUGGAUUCA